rnacentral:rRNA from 1 species
UACGUAGGGUGCGAGCGUUAAUCGGAAUUACUGGGCGUAAAGCGCACGCAGGCGGUUGGUUAAGUCAGAUGUGAAAGCCCCGGGCUCAACCUGGGAAUUGCAUUUGAAACUGGCCAACUAGAGUACGUGAGAGGGGGGUAGAAUUCCAAGUGUAGCGGUGAAAUGCGUAGAGAUUUGGAGGAAUACCAGUGGCGAAGGCGGCCCCCUGGUACGAUACUGACGCUCAGGUGCGAAAGCGUGGGGAGCAAACAGG